CCACGAUCUCCUUCUUGUUGUUGGCCAGCUGCUCAAACUCCUGGCGAAACAGCUUCUCCUGCAUAGCCAACUCAUCCCACUUCCGCUGGUACCUGAGAUCUGAAAGUUCACUGGACGGCUUGGUGGUGUGGCAGCAGGAAGAGAGGAGAACGCUAAGACUGAUGCAGUGACCUCAUCACAUGCCCUGAACGCACCGGCACCACAGGCUCACAGAGGGCGCCACCUGCCGAGACGCAGCCCGCCGUCUCCGAGGCUGAGAGACAACUUACAUACAGAGGCCCAGGACGAGGGAAGAACUGCCCGCUCUCAGGCAGCGUGCUGCCCGCUCUCAGGCAGCGUGGUGCACACUCCAUGGAUUGUCUGCAGACUCCAGACGGCUCCAGAUCCUAGUGUAAGUCGCAGUGACCUGGAUCCAGAAGGCUCCAAGCCACGUCAGGGGGCAGCUGGGCUCCUCCCCACUGGACCAUCGAUGAAGCCUUUCUCCUCCUGCUCCCCAGAGAGAAACCGGGCGGCAAGUCACCCUGGACACCAUGAAUGGGCGCUGAUUUAUUUCUUUAUUAGACUUGAGUGCUUUAGUACAGAACGGUACAGAGAUGAUACACGUUUGUGCUUCAAUACUUUCAAACACUGAGAUUCUGAUAAUUUCAAGGUAAACAAGUUUCAAGACAGACUAGCUUUUUUUAAAAUAUCCUUUUGAUAAAUUAUUUUUUAUAUAAAUAACAGAGAAAGGAAAACCAACGUGUCGAACAAACAAGGUCCUGAAGCAUGAGCGUCGUUUGGUCAAGGGCAGGGGACAAAACAAGCAGUUUUAACAGGAAGAAACCAAGGCAGGUCCUUACAGUCUGUCCUAAGGAAAUAAGAUCUUGUAAGGAAGGGGGGUCAGGGAGACAGACCUGAAAACUAAUCUGAGUGCAAAGGGGGAAGAUUUCAAAGCCUUGAGAAGAGAACGCCACGAUGCAUCUAACGGCGGGCGGAGGAUAUAUUCUGAAAGGGAAGAGGGGGUGGCGGAGAACUAGCACACACACGUUUGCAACGACGAUGCCGCAAGACAGUAAUAUACACACACGGGCUGGGGCGGUUCAAGGGCGUGGGGGGUGGGUGCGGGACAUUUUUUGUGACUUCCACUGUCGUUAUAGCUCACAGCAGCAGCAGGACAGAGUGCACUCCCUUCCGGAGAACGAGCCGCUGAGUCCUGAGGAUGAGGAGACAUCCUUCCUGCGUUGGCCUCUUUGAUUUCUGCAUCAACAGCUAAGUUUUAUACAGCUACGUCUUUAUACAGAGAGUAAAAUGAUUGUUUUCUUCUUACAAGCAUGACGACAUAUGACCCCACACUACACAAAAUAAAGUAUUAGGGAGUAUCUUAAACAGAGGAUGAUCUGGGGUGGGACUGGGGUCUGUGUAAACCCAGCAGGCUACUCUUCGUGUAGUUUGAAGCCUCAGGGGCGCGGACAGGAAAGGGACCUCUGAACCAGGAGCCUGCGGGACCCUCCCAGUCCUAGUCCGUUGCUGAGGCAUAAGCUCUAUCCAGGCUGACCUCACUGAGAAAGAGGAGCUCUGGUGGUGUUGGCGGGUGGUGCCUGGGGGAAGAUGGGGUCUGAAGGACCAGGUCUAACUGGAGACCCAGGUCCCCAGUGGAAGCCUGCUCCUCUCUCAUGCAGGCACGGUGACAGACUGCAGACAGGACCACAGCGCUGUGGCCGUGGCCAGGGAGGGCGCUGAGACAGGGCACCCAGCCCGACUUCCCAUGGCCCAACCCCCAGCCCCCACCCUCAACACCAGGGGAUGGGGGGAGCGAGCCCCUUGGGGAGAGAGAGCAGAGGUCGGCACCAGGGCAAACCUCUCGAGAUGUCACCUGAGCUUCACUUCCAAGCUCAUGUGAACGAGAGCCGGCACCAAGGGGGAGGAACUGGAGUGAAGAGAAGAGACACCCUCAGUUUGACAUACUCC